ACCAGGCACAGUGGCAUGCACUUGUAGUCCCAGCUACUCAGGAGGCUGAGGCAGGAGGAUUGCUUGAGUCCAGGAGUUCUGGGCUAUAGUGUGCCAUGCUGAUCAGGUGUCUGCGCCAAGUUCAGAAUCAAUAAGGUGACCUCAUGGGAACAGGGGACCACCAGAUUCCUGAGGAGGGGUAAACUGGCCUGGAUUGGAAACAAAACAGGUCAAAACUCCCAUGCUGAUCAGUAGUGGGAUCAUGCCUGUGGCUAGUCACUGCACUCCAGCCUGAGCAACAUAGAGAGACCCUGUCUCU
rnacentral:SRP_RNA from 1 species